CCGGAUCUGCUUGGACAUGUUUUUGAGAUUGAGAGUUAGGUGGACCUAGUCUUUCUGGCAGUAGUUUUAGGCCAAGAUUAGAACAUUACUUUCUUUUUCUGGCGUCCCUCUCCUGACUUCCCUGCAGUUUAUCUCCAUCUGGCUUCGCUCCACAGAGCCUGUGGGAUGCUGCUGGGGUGGGCCUGUGAGAAUCCAUGUUGCGAUCUGCUGAUUUUCCUCAUCUUACUCAGUUUGAAGUUUCAAAAUUCUCUGACUUCAAAUUAUGCUGAGAGUGUGAUUUCUGUAUACUUUUUCCUUCGUGUGCUUGCAUUAUUUUGCAAUGAAAUAUCGGGAGACAGGUAGCUAGGCUGCCACUAAUGUUUUCAGCGACCGGGAAGUUCGCUUUCAUUCUUGAAAGAAGUAACACAUUGUUGCUAAGU
rnacentral:lncRNA from 10 species